AGCGAACGCUGGCGGCAGGCCUAACACAUGCAAGUCGAACGAAGUCUUCGGACUUAGUGGCGGACGGGUGAGUAACACGUGGGAACGUGCCUUUAGGUUCGGAAUAACUCAGGGAAACUUGUGCUAAUACCGAAUGUGCCCUUCGGGGGGAAAGAUUUAUCGCCUUUAGAGCGGCCCGCGUCUGAUUAGCUAGUUGGUGAGGUAAUGGCUCACCAAGGCUACGGUCAGUAGCUGGUCUGAGAGGAGGACCAGCCACAUUGGGACUGAGACACGGCCCAAACUCCUACGGGAGGCAGCAGUGGGGAAUCUUGCGCAAUGGGCGAAAGCCUGACGCAGCCAUGCCGCGUGGAUGAUGAAGGUCUUAGGAUUGUAAAAUCCUUUCACCGGUGAAGAUAAUGACUGUAGCCGGAGAAGAAGCCCCGGCUAACUUCGUGCCAGCCGCCGCGGUAAUAC
rnacentral:rRNA from 1 species